GUUCCAUAAUGUAUCUACAAAUUUUAUCACAUAAGCGCAUUAGACAAGAUAAAAUUCAAAUUAGAUUGUAGAAUAAUUCAUAUCAAAUCAGACUAGAAAAAAAGAACAUUAUUGCAUAAAAAAAAUAAGAAAAUUGUUAGAAGAUAAAUGUGAAUGCCUAUUAUUUGAUUUGUUUUCACAAUGUUCACACAAGUCCAAAGACUUGUGAACUUGUAUGACAUUAUAUGUAAAGCUCUUGGCUAUAUAAACCAUGUUGCCGAUGUAAUACUACAAUUUACUCAUCCCAUUUUUACUUCUUCUUUACUUCUCCUUUCAUCGAUUAAAAGACUUCCUAUGGAUAAACAAAAAUAAGAAAAUAAAAUCACCCGACUUCCUCCUCCUUUGGGCAAUUGGGCGGGUGUUUUCUCUGGUUGGAGUGCAACUUCCUGCCGCCAUUGCAAUCAAACUGAUUUUCUCUCUCCUCCGUUUUUCUCUUCUCCAUCAAUGGCGCUCAACAACGCUGACGAAGAGCUCCGCCUGCUCGACGACGUCUUGCGCUCGCUACCGCCGCCGGCAGUCAAUUAUCUCCUAACCCUCCGAGUCUGUCCGCAGUGUAUCCUUCGAUUAUUUGGGAAAUAUGGACCAAUUUACACCCACUAUUCCCGGAUCUCUACUAUAUUGUCAGAAGUUGUUGCACAUCAACCUAGCUCUGAUGACCCUGUGUUGAAAGAGUCUGCCAAUGAGGAUGGUAUUUGCAGUGUUUGUUUUGGGAUUCUGCAGUACGUUUGUGUGGAUGAGAAACAAGCAUUGGUGAACAGGGGUUGUGCCAAUGACUUUGCUGCAUUAAUCUACGAACUGGUGAAAAAGGAUGGUCAUCAAGCAGAUAGCUUUUCUCUUGAAGUCUCUAUACCACCAAUAAUCGUGGAGAACGAAAAUGCUGUCAGGCUAUCUAUGAAACAGAAGUACAGUUCUGAGGAAUGGUUUCAAGAAACACUCCAGUCUGAAGCCAUUUCAGUCAAGGAUUCUCUGAAGCUAUCUAUAAUAGAGCCUCUUGAAACGUUGUUGGGUGUCAAAUCUGGGUCAAGCUCUUUCCGUGUUCGGUUGACUUAUACAUCUUCAGAAAUGCCAAUAAAGACUGAUAAUGGAAAAGAAAAUAACCAAGGCAGCAAGAAGCGGAAAACAGGAAGGUCUGAACCUAAUGAGAAUGAUUUCGAUUUGAAGCAAUGUGCAAAAAAUUUGCUAGAAGCAAAACCCUUCAGACCAUCAGAGAAGAUAUCAGCUUGCAGCUUGGAGGUUCUUUGUUCCAGUUCACCUAUCUAUAUUGGAGGUAGAUACUUAAAGUACUCUAGAAAUGUGAGUCAGUCACGAUGGAUUAUUGAUGAUGAAAGAAUGGGAGAAGCAUCUGUUGAGGAGAUUGUGGGAAAUAGCAUUCUUCCGUUGUGUAGGGGCGAUAAUUACAAGUUUCAUGCUGCUGGCAGAGAAGACAUAGAUGUUCGAAUGUUGGGCUCUGGACGUCCUUUCUUACUUGAAAUUCAAAAUCCCCGAAUGUUGCCAUCAGAAUUGUCACUAAAAGAGAUGGAAAUGAAAAUUAAUAGUUUGGAAGGAAAAUUGGUGAAGGUAAAAAACCUUAAAGUUGUUGAUGAACAAGUUUGGACCCUAAUGCGUGAAGGUGAAGCAGAGAAGCAGAAGCAAUAUACAGCCCUAGUGUGGAUUUCUCGUCAACUUGAGGAUAAAGACUUGGUAACUUUAUCUUUACUUAAAGAUUUGGUCGUGGCGACUCCCUUGCACCACAGUUGAGAAUGGUGGACCUCCUUGAUGGUCUCCUUGAUGGUGAAUGGAACCUCCCUAUUUGAACGAUGUUGAGAAGGCUCUGAAACCCCACAUAUCAUAGGACGCGCACUGAUUGCCCAUGCAGCGCUUAAAAUCCUGCCUUCCCCAUGUGUGCAACAAGCUAAUAAAUAGAGGAUAUAACACGCAAUGACGCUAACCUGCACCACAAAUACAAUCAUUAGUAAGGCACGGGCACGCAAGCAUAGGAGGUUGCCUCAUAUGGGACUUGUUGCGUAUGCAUAUAACUGAUUUAUGAUACAGAGAGUGUAUUUUCAUCCUGCUUUUUGUACUGAAUUAUAUAUAAGUGGCUUACUUUUUUAUGGGUAUCAUGGAUGAAAAUGCCUAUUAUAUGUCGGUCAUUAUUUUGGGAGUUAUUGCUAUAUUCAUUCUUAAUUUGCCUGAACAUUGUGACUGGUCUUUGGUGGUAACUGUACUACUAAUUAUAAUUUCUCCGUUUUCUUAUUGAAUAGAAAUUAUCACAGAGAACCCCAGUGAGGGUACUUCAUCGUCGAAGUCCUCUAGAACGUGAAAAGAUAAUUCAUUCGAUAAAUAUUGAGAAGAUGUCCGGAAGUACCCAGUAUUUCCUCCUCCAUCUCUGCACACAGGCUGGAACAUACAUCAAGGAAUUUGUCCAUGGAGACCUUGGGCGCACUUAUCCAAGCCUUGGUUCGAUUCUGGGUUGUAGAGCAGAGAUUCUCCAGCUUGAUGUAACAGAUGUGAAGAUGGACUGUUUCCUGACUAAAUGAAGAUAUGGUUUUCAAUAUUUGGAACAAACUCAUCAUCUUAAGUACUUCCACAACCAAUGGUGACCAGUAAGGCAGUCAGACCGAUUAAUAAUUUUUAGUUGGCAGAGAAAUUUUGGGGGUUAGGGUGACUCAGGGUGCAGUUUUUUUUAAUUUUUUUUUUUUUAAAAAAAAAAAAACUUUUUUUUAAAAUCUGUUAUUGACGAUAUAGUGGAGAAUAGAUUCUGCAAUUGAUAAUACAGUAUCUGAUUCAAAGGGUCUCUGUUCGUAUGAAAUGCAUCGAUUCAAGAUAGCCCUUCUUGAUCACAUGCUCAUAAUUGAUAAUCUUGUAUCAGAAUCAUAUGCGUAAUUGCAUGUUAUAUUAUCAAUCAAUUUUGCGUCUUA